AACUGAAAAAAAGAAGCAAUGAAAAAGAAGAAAAAAUGAGAAGAAAAGAAAACGUAUUUGUGUGUUAUUUU
rnacentral:ribozyme from 12 species